UAUAAAUGAAUGCAUAAGUCCAAAAAUUAUUUCUACUAUAAUGUUAAAAAGUGUGUACAAAUGAUAACGAUGGACCAGUAAAGCAGAGAACGUGUGCCACUAUGUGUUGCCUUUGAGUCAGGAGAGAAACUAUGGAUCAAAUACUUAACCUGACACCAGUGGCUAGCUAUUAAAAGCCUGCAUUGAGAAGGGAAGGGAGAACCAAGUAAACAACUUACUACAACAGUCUAUGUAAGGGAUCAAAGAAGACACAAUAAAUGAAAUCGUCGCUUAAAUCCUUGGAAAGGAAGGCGUGGUGCCCUGUGGCGGUGGGGUUCUGUGAUGGUAACCAUGAUCCCCGGCAGCCACUAUAUCUGCAGCACUCAUGCAAGAGAGGACGACUCCACGAACGAUCGAGAGGAGAGAAUUUUAGCCGUGCUGGGCAUCAUCGGAACCAUUCUCAAUCUUUUAGUGGUCAUCUUCGUCUACAUCUACACUUCUGUCACCUAAGACUUUGAGAUAGGCUAAAAUAAGAAUGACUGGCGCCCACCCAACGUCCCUCCCGCCAUACAUCUCUUCAAGUACUUAUGUGCGUUGAGGGUUAGAUCAUUAUGUGCUAAGAUAGAAAGAUUCUUGGCAGUGUGUACAGCCUGAAUUGUGGCCAACUGCAAGUGUAUCAAUUCACUGCCGUAAGAAUAGUCCCUCGCCAUUUCCAGCGGACUCCUGUCACGACAGAAAGGAGUUCCAUGAGGCAUCUUCUCUCCCUUCCUGCCUAUAUUGAACUUGUCAUUUCAAGAAAACCUCCUGCCAAAUCAUUGCUGACAGUCACUGCCUAUACUCAUGACUUGGCAUUUUUAUGAAAACGGGAUUUUAUCCGAUGGUGGAUUUUAAUGUGCUGUUUUUAAUACGAGACUAUAAAAGAAGCUUAUGUAAGUGUUUCUGUUCACAAGGUGAGGUUUGUUUCAUUGCAGAUUAAUAUUCACCCAAACGGAAGUAGCAGACUGACUCAAAGGUUACUAGGAACUAUCGACUGAAGGGCCUUUGUGCCUCUCCUUAAAAGUUGCAACUUAAUGGACUCAUCUUAUUGCAUAAUAUCAAUUGCUGUAUUAAGUGGGAUUUAAAAAAACAUUUUCAUGGACCUAACGUGUCCAUACCUGAGCACACCAGAGGAGAGAUUCCUGGCAGUGCUCGGUGUCAUCGGUAUCAUGCUCAAUCUUUUGCUGCUCGCCUUUGUCUACAUAUACACAUCCAGUUGAGAAACUCAUUCAAACACACUGUCAGGAAAUGUAAUACGAAGCAUAAGGCAGAUUUCAUGGAAGCAUGUAAAUAUCCUUCAGCUAACACUGAGUUUAAUCAUCUAUACUGCAUAUCUCAAAAUGAGAUAUUCAUGUCCUCUGAUAUUUUGACUGAAGUUUUGCAUCCUUCAGGUUGUAUUGUAUAAAUCUACCCCAGUUGAGAUGAACAUCGAGACAUGUUUAUUUAAACUUGCUUUGUGAUCUUAGUUAUGUGCUAAUCAAGCUGACAGAUGUAAUUGAAUUAAUGUUGUUUGCGCUUUAUGCCUUUUUGUGUUCACACUAUCAAACACAACAAGAUGGAACGAGAGGGUGCUGACAAGUCAGCGUACGCAGCAGUUCAUCAUAAGUGCAAAGAUCCUGCUCAAUGUCAUAGAAUAAUAGUUUAUUUCCUCUUGCCAUGUCUUUUUAAUUGGAUUUGUGAGUCAGUCGCGGAGCACUGUCAGAGGUGUGAAGGUUUGAAAAUGAGACAAUGUCACACAAAUCAAGACCGUGUGAUGCUGCAACACGAUUUAAAGGUGCAGGAUGUUUGCAGAAGAGAUAAUCUGAACCAGUGGGGAUUAUUUGACAUACAAAAGCCUCAAUCAUCUGGUUGUGGUUUCUUAUCAUGGGAUUACACCAAAAACUAUCUGAAAGCGGGUUCCAGCUUUUCCACUGGAGGCCCAUUCCAGCGUGGAUACGAUGCACAGGCUAAGAAAGCAGCAAGGACAGAUCUGAAUCUUCAUCUGAUCUUCAUUAUUCUCUUCUCUACCAACAAGCUCAAACCAGAGAAGACAUAAUACCAAAUGGACCCAUAUGACUCUCUGCUGUAAAGCACAUCACUUUUAUAUUGCAAUCAGUAUAUUUAAAUUUUGAGGACAAGCUGACAAUGAAUCACGGAAGCGACCUAAUUUUUCUUUUUGGCUUGUUAAAAGUUUUUUUUAAGAGUUUUUCAUCAAUACAGUGAAAGAAUCAUUGUACAGUUGCACAUAUCUGCAUUAUUGAAAAUAUGUUCAAAUAUACAUGUAUGUGUACAAACAAACAAACAAACAAACAAACAAACAAACAAACAAACAAACAAACACAAAUCUCUAGACAAACAAGAAGUCAAAAAUCUUCUGAUAGCAUGAUAAUAUUUUACUCACUACUUGCUAAUGGACUGACAAGACCCUUGAAAAUCACGUCACAUUACAUUCCAAAAGCAUUUGGAUAUCUCAGCUUUAGCCUUUUUAUUGCUUGGGACAUUAAAUUUUGUUUAAAUAAGGCUUAAAAGUUUUUGGGGGAGUUCAUCUAUUAAAAUGACAAUAUGCCAGA